GAGCCUGAGAAACGGCUACCACUUUCACGGAAGGCAGCAGGUGCGCAAAUUACCCACUUCUAACUCAGAGAGGUAGUGACAAGAAAUAUCGACCAGCAGCCUUUGGUUGCCAUUCGAAAUGAGAGUAAUUUAAAACCCUUAUCGAUCAACAAGCGGAGGGAAAGCCUGGUGC
rnacentral:rRNA from 1 species